rnacentral:tRNA from 1 species
GGGGCCAUAGCUCAAUUGGUAGAGCACCUGCUUUGCAAGCAGGGGGUCGUCGGUUCGAAUCCGACUGGCUCCACCA